GGAUCAAUUAAUUGGUCGUGCCUCUGGUACGUACUGAUUUUAUUGGUUUCUCCCUUCUGACGAAUCAUGAUGUCAUUAAUUUGGUGUUUUGGGGAAUUUGGACUGUUACUUUGAAAAAAUUAGAGUGUUUAAAGCAAGCUAACGCUUGAAUACAUUAGCAUGGAAUAAUGAAAUAGGACGUUCGAUCCUAUUUUGUUGGUUUCUAGGAUUGACGUA
rnacentral:rRNA from 1 species